rnacentral:rRNA from 1 species
GCCGGGAACUCUACGAAACUGCCGGUGUAAACCGUGAGGAAGUGGGAUGACGUCAAAUCAGCACGGCCCUUAUGUCCAGGGCUACACACGUGUUACAAUGGCCGGUACAGAGGGCAGCUACCUGGAGACAGGAUGCGAAUCUCGAAAGCCGGUCUCAGUUCGGAUCGGAGUCUGCAACUCGACUCCGUGAAGCUGGAUUCGCUAGUAAUCGCGCAUCAGCCAUGGCCGCGGUCGAAUACGUUCCCGGGCCUU